rnacentral:rRNA from 1 species
GAGGGGCAGCGGGGUUGUAGCAAUACAACUGCCGGCGACCGGCGCACGGGUGAGUAACACGUAUGUAACCUGCCCUCUGCAAGGGGAUAAGCGGAAGAAAUUCCGUCUAAUACCGCAUAAUACAAUUUGGAGACAUCUCCGGGUUGUCAAAGGAGUGAUCCGGCAGAGGAUGGACAUGCGGCGCAUUAGCUAGUCGGCGGGGUAACGGCCCACCGAGGCUACGAUGCGUAGGGGUUCUGAGAGGAAGGUCCCCCACACUGGUACUGAGACACGGACCAGACUCCUACGGGAGGCAGCAGUGAGGAAUAUUGGUCAAUGGGCGGAAGCCUGAACCAGCCAAGUCGCGUGAGGGAAGACGGUCCUAUGGAUUGUAAACCUCUUUUGCAGGGGAGCAAGGCGCGGUACGUGUACCGCGAAGGAGAGUACCCUGAGAAAAAGCAUCGGCUAACUCCGUGCCAGCAGCCGCGGUAAUACGGAGGAUGCGAGCGUUAUCCGGAUUUAUUGGGUUUAAAGGGUGCGCAGGCGGACUGUUAAGUCAGCGGUAAAAUGUCGGUGCUCAACACCGGCCGGCCGUUGAAACUGGCAGCCUUGAGUGAGCGAGAAGUAUGCGGAAUGCGUGGUGUAGCGGUGAAAUGCAUAGAUAUCACGCAGAACUCCGAUUGCGAAGGCAGCAUACCGGCGCUCAACUGACGCUCAGGCACGAAAGCGUGGGUAUCCUUCAAGGGUAGAUACCCUGGUAGUCCACGCAGUAAAC